GUGAGAGCCUUUGCUCUCACACUCCUCACACUUAAAAAUGCCCGACUUGUUCGGGUUUU
rnacentral:sRNA from 20 species